GUGCUAUCUCCCACUGACUUUAGCUGUGGUCAUGGAAAAUAACCAAAUGUUUGUGGGUCCAUAUUGCCUCAGUGUCCUGCUUAAAGCAUGGGGAGAAAAAAACAGAUCAAGCAGCCUGGAGGAAGGGAGAAGGUCAACAAAUUAAAUCACCCCUAGGACUUCGAAAGCUGGGUCAACAAAGCCCUGAAACUCCAAGUUUCUGAACUUGUAUGUUUGCCAUCCACAAUAUAAAGAGAUGUUUUGGGUUUUUUUGAGGAAGAUUAGCCCUGAGCUAACACCUGCUGCCAAUCCUCCUCCUUUUGCUGAGGAAGACUGGCCCUGAGCUAACAUCUGUGCCCACCUUCCUCUACUUUAUAUGUGGGACACCUACCACAGCAUGGCUUGACAAGCGGUGCCAUGUCCGCACCCAGGAUCUGAACCAGCUAACCCUGGGCCACCGAAGUGGAACGUGCGCAUUUAACCGCUGAGUCACUGGGCCAGCCCCUAAAGAGAUUUUUCUCUUUUAAUUUCCAACAUCUGUGGCUUUCUAUUAGUUCAAGCUUCUGCAGGGAGCAUGCGUUCAUUAAAUGGUAAAUAUGAACCUAAAUACAGAAACACAAAUGCUUAAACCAUUAGGAGGCACCUUCUUAACAGUGAUGAAUGAGGCAGAAAAAAGGGAGGAGGUUCCACUUUGGGGCUGCAUGAUACACUUUUGCUUUGAACAAUCUCAGGCAUCUCCAGCAAUGACUUGGGAGGAAAAGUCUGACUUCAUCAUCACACGUUCAUUGAGUUAAAGUUUCCAGCCACUAUGCUACCUGCUUAGGCUCAAGAAGAUAAAAGAGAAAUGUUUCUGGGAGAUGGGGAAGGCGGGUGGGGGAGAUCAACAUGGAGACAACUGAUUAUAACACAAUGUCAUGACAAGUGGGCCCUGAGGCCAGCUCUGGGUCAUAUGCUGUCUUCUGCUGAUAUUUCUACUGCUUUCACCUGGAUAUGCAGCAGAUAGAGAGUUGCAAGGGCAGUUGCCAUGCCUAAGGCUAAUUUUACUGCUAGAAAAAGAUCCAUCAGAAGAGAUCUCUGAGAAGAUGCAUAAAGAAAUUUUCCAGUUGGCCAUUAUCUGCCUGUGGGUCCAGAGUUUGACCAUCCUUUCCAAAGUGAGCGCCUGAAGGGAAGAUCAGAUAGAUUCAAUAUGGGAGUGAAAUAAUGAAAGGGGUUGAAAGAAGUAUGGAGAUAAAUUAAUCCAACAUCUCUCAACAGAUUGGUGGAUUUGAAAAGGCCACACCAAACAUGAGGAGAGGGGGACAAAGCCCAAGACCUAGGCUGUACUCAAAGAUUCAUGUGCCUCAACUUCCCAUCCAGCCUUUCUGAGACUCUGCUCCACCCAUGCCUUUUCCCUAUCCCCAAUUACUGUCAUUUGUGUUGCCGUCAUGGUCUCCUUUUUUGUGCUUUUAAUCUAUACACAUUUAUUGGACGCCUGUUGUGUGCCUGGCACUGUACUGCAAAGACAAGUGAUUCCUAUCCUUAAGGAGGUCAUAGUAAAAUGAAAGACACUGAUACGUGAAGAAAUGAUUCUAAAAGAUGGGGUAACUGCAAUGAUUGUGAUAUAGCCAGUAUAUUAUAGAAGUACUGAGGUGAGGAACCCAAACCAACCUGAGGUGUGUGUGUGUGUGCCUGUACGUACAUGUGUGUUUUGGAGAGUGGGUGUGUGACAGGCACUGUUAGUGUCCUGCUCAUAUCUCCUGGAACCCCUUUGCCAUUUUCGUGUACGUCAGCUUCAGCUGCUUUCACUCCCAGCAGCCAGCACUGUGUCUCUUUGUUGGAGGACAGCUCUCAGGCUGCAGGAGCCCACUUUGUUUGUGCACGCACACAGAGAGCUGA
ensembl:lncRNA